rnacentral:rRNA from 1 species
CCUACGGGAGGCAGCAGUGAGGAAUAUUGGUCAAUGGACGCAAGUCUGAACCAGCCAUGCCGCGUGCAGGAAGACGGCUCUAUGAGUUGUAAACUGCUUUUGUACGAGGGUAAACGCAGAUACGCGUAUCUGUCUGAAAGUAUCCUACGAAUAAGGAUCGGCUAACUCCGUGCCAGCAGCCGCGGUAAUAAGGAGGAUUCAAGCGUUAUCCGGAUUUAUUGGGUUUAAAGGGUGCGUAGGCGGUCGGAUAAGUUAGAGGUGAAAGCCCGAGGCUCAACUUCGGAAUUGCCUCUGAUACUGUUCGGCUAGAGAGUAGUUGCGGUAGGCGGAAUGUAUGGUGUAGCGGUGAAAUGCUUAGAGAUCAGACAGAACACCGGUUGCGAAGGCAGCUUACCAAGCUACUUCUGACGUUGAGGCACGAAAGCGUGGGGAGCAAACAGGAUUAGAUACCCGUGUAGUC